rnacentral:misc_RNA from 1 species
GCAAACUUGGUCAUUUAGAGGAAGUAAAAGUCGUAACAAGGUUUCCGUAGGUGAACCUGCGGAAGGAUCAUUCACAAUAAGAGUGUUUAUGGCACUCUUCCAAAAAUCCAUACCCACCUUGUGUGCAACGUAAGAAGAAAAAACGCGAGUCAUGGGGGGACAGAGUUGGCAACAACAAAAGAAGCCCAAGACUUGCCUUUUUCUUUUCCACAUACACCUUUCUAUAAGUUCCUAUUGUCUGAAGCUGUUAGAGAAUUGACUAAUUCUUAAACAUAACUUUCAACAACGGAUCUCUUGGCUCUCGCAUCGAUGAAGAACGCAGC